rnacentral:rRNA from 1 species
UACGUAGGUGGCAAGCGUUGUCCGGAAUUAUUGGGCGUAAAGCGCGCGCAGGUGGUUCCUUAAGUCUGAUGUGAAAGCCCCCGGCUCAACCGGGGAGGGUCAUUGGAAACUGGGGAACUUGAGUGCAGAAGAGGAUAGUGGAAUUCCAUGUGUAGCGGUGAAAUGCGUAGAUAUAUGGAGGAACACCGGUGGCGAAAGCGGCUCUCUGGACUGUAACUGACACUGAGGCUCGAAAGCGUGGGUAGCAAACAGG